rnacentral:rRNA from 1 species
AUUGAACGCUGGCGGCAGGCCUAACACAUGCAAGUCGAGCGGAUGAAGGGAGCUUGCUCCUGGAUUCAGCGGCGGACGGGUGAGUAAUGCCUAGGAAUCUGCCUGGUAGUGGGGGAUAACGUCCGGAAACGGGCGCUAAUACCGCAGACGUCCUGAGGGAGAAAGUGGGGGAUCUUCGGACCUCACGCUAUCAGAUGAGCCUAGGUCGGAUUAGCUAGUUGGUGGGGUAAAGGCCUACCAAGGCGACGAUCCGUAACUGGUCUGAGAGGAUGAUCAGUCACACGGGAACUGAGACACGGUCCAGGCUCCUACGGGAGGCAGCAGUGGGGAAUAGUGGACAAUGGGCGAAAGCCUGAUCCAGUCAUGCCGCGUGUGUGAAGAAGGUCUUCGGAUUGGAAAGCACUUUAAGUUGGGAGGAAGGGCAGUAAGUUAAUACCUUGCUGUUUUGACGUUACCAACAGAAUAAGCACCGGCUAACUUCGUG